UACGUAGGGUGCGAGCGUUAAUCGGAAUUACUGGGCGUAAAGCGUGAGUAGGCGGUCCGCGAAGUCUGAUGUGAAAGCCCCGGGCUCAACCUGGGAACUGCAUUGGAAACUAACGGGCUCGAGUGUGGCAGAGGGGGGUGGAAUUCCACGUGUAGCAGUGAAAUGCGUAGAGAUGUGGAGGAACACCGAUGGCGAAGGCAGCCCCCUGGGCUAACACUGACGCUCAGGCACGAAAGCGUGGGGAGCAAACAGG
rnacentral:rRNA from 1 species